rnacentral:misc_RNA from 1 species
CGGGUGGCUUUUAGCCGAGUGGUCUUCGGGGAUGAUUUCCGUAAAGGUGCAUGAGUGGUGUUUGGUUUGUUGCGGAUGGUUGGAUGUCUGCUUGCGCAGCAACUUCCAUGCGGGCUUACCUCUUCAAUUGUGCUACAAGCCUUGUUUGGCUUGCAGCAUUCGGUGGGUUUCUUGUGUUAAUUACCUAAUCGAUGGCAUUGUUUGUCCCCAUUAGUUGGAUUUUGUAACACGUUGCUUGCGGCGUGAUACAAACAAUGAAGCAACCUUUGUUGUUCAACCUGUUGCUGCUCAUGCAUCGAUGGCUUGGCCCAUGAAGUGUUGAUUGGUCCCUUGGAUAUGGAACAUGAUGUGGGCACAAGUUUGUCAAAGAUCUUGUAUUUGCCCUAUUGAGUGAUUUAGCUUCUUUAAAUGACCGU